AUUGAACGCUGGCGGCAGGCCUAACACAUGCAAGUCGAGCGGAGCGGCGGACGGGUGAGUAAUGCCUAGGAAUCUGCCUGGUAGUGGGGGAUAACGUCCGGAAACGGGCGCUAAUACCGCAUACUAUCAGAUGAGCCUUGGUCGGAUUAGCUAGUUGGUGUGGGAAAGGCUUACCAAGGCGACGAUCCGUAACUGGUCUGAGAGGAUGAUCAGUCACACUGUAACUGAGACACGGUCCAGACUCCUACGGGAGGCAGCAGUGGGGAAUAUUGGGCAAUGGGCUAAAGCCUGAUCCAGCCAUGCCGCGUGUGUGAAGAAGGUCUUCGGAUUGUAAAGCACUAUAAGUUGGGAGGCGUUACCAACAGAAUAAGCACCGGCUAACUUCGUGCCAGCAGCCGCGGUAAUUC
rnacentral:rRNA from 1 species